rnacentral:rRNA from 1 species
UACGGAGGAUGCGAGCGUUAUCCGGAUUUAUUGGGUUUAAAGGGUGUGUAGGCGGUCCGUUAAGUCAGCGGUAAAAUUGCGGGGCUCAACCCCGUCGAGCCGUUGAAACUGUCAGACUUGAGUUGGCGAGAAGUACGCGGAAUGCGCGGUGUAGCGGUGAAAUGCAUAGAUAUCGCGCAGAACUCCGAUUGCGAAGGCAGCGUACCGGCGCCACACUGACGCUGAGGCACGAAAGCGUGGGGAUCGAACAGG